rnacentral:rRNA from 1 species
GUGGGGAAUAUUGGACAAUGGGCGAAAGCCUGAUCCAGCCAUGCCGCGUGUGUGAAGAAGGUCUUCGGAUUGUAAAGCACUUUAAGUUGGGAGGAAGGGCAGUAAGUUAAUACCUUGCUGUUUUGACGUUACCGACAGAAUAAGCACCGGCUAACUUCGUGCCAGCAGCCGCGGUAAUACGAAGGGUGCAAGCGUUAAUCGGAAUUACUGGGCGUAAAGCGCGCGUAGGUGGUUUUGUAAGUUGGAGGUGAAAUCCCCGGGCUCAACCUGGGAACUGCCUCCAAAACUGCAUGACUAGAGUACGGUAGAGGGUAGUGGAAGUUCCUGUGUAGCGGUGAAAUGCGUUGAUAUAGGAAGGAACACCAGUGGCGAAGGCGACUACCUGGACUGAUACUGACACUGAGGUGCGAAAGCGUGGGGAGCAAACAGGAUUAGAAACCCCAGUAGUC